CGAAAGCCUGACGGAGCAAUACCGCGUGAGGGAGGAAGGCCUUUGGGUUGUAAACCUCUUUUCUCAGGGAAGAAGCCAGUGACGGUACCUGAGGAAUCAGCCUCGGCUAACUCCGUGCCAGCAGCCGCGGUAAUACGGGAGUGGCAAGCGUUAUCCGGAAUUAUUGGGCGUAAAGCGUCCGCAGGCGGCCGAUCAAGUCUGCUGUUAAAGCGUGGAGCUUAACUCCAUAAUGGCAGUGGAAACUGAUUGGCUGGAGUGUGGUAGGGGCAGAGGGAAUUCCCGGUGUAGCGGUGAAAUGCGUAGAUAUCGGGAAGAACACCAGUGGCGAAGGCGCUCAACUGGGCCGUAACUGACACUCAGGGACGAAAGCUAGGGGAGCG
rnacentral:rRNA from 1 species